GACGAAUGCUGGCUGCGUGCUUAACACAUGCAAGUCGAACGGUGAAAGGGAACUUGCUCCCUGGAUCAGUGGCGAACGGGUGAGUAACACGUGGGCAACCUGCCCCUCACUCUGGGAUAACUCCGGGAAGCCGGGGCUAAUACCGGAUACGACCUGGUGCGACAUCGCACCGGGUGGAAAGAACUUCGGUGAGGGAUGGGCCCGCGGCCUAUCAGCCUGUUGGUGGGGUAACGGCCCACCAAGGCGACGACGGGUAGCCGGCCUGAGAGGGCGACCGGCCACACUGGGACUGAGACACGGCCCAGACUCCUACGGGAGGCAGCAGUGGGGAAUAUUGCGCAAUGGGCGAAAGCCUGACGCAGCGACGCAGUGUGAGGGACGAAGGCCUUCGGGUUGUAAACCUCUUUCAGCAGGGAAGAAGCGAAAGUGACGGUACCUGCAGAAGAAGCACCGGCUAACUACGUGCCAGCCGCCGCGGUAACAC
rnacentral:rRNA from 1 species